CCUACGGGCGGCUGCAGUGGGGAAUAUUGCACAAUGGGGGCAACCCUGAUGCAGCGACGCCGCGUGGGUGAAGGAGUAUUUCGGGAUGUAAAGCCCGAUCAGCAGGGAAGAACAAUGACGGUACCUGACAAAGAAGCACCGGCUAAAUACGUGCCAGCAGCCGCGGUAAUACGGAUGGUGCAAGCGUUAUCCGGAUUUACUGGGUGUAAAGGGAGCGCAGGCGGGGGGGUAAGCCUGGGGUGAAAGCCCGCGGCCCAACCGCGGGACUGCAUUGUGAACUGGCGCGCUGGAGUGCCGGAGGGGUAGGCGGAAUUCCUCGUGUAGCGGUGAAAUGCGUAGAUAUUAGGAGGAACACCAGUGGCGAAGGCGUCCUACUGGACGGUGACUGACGCUGAGGCUCGACAGCGUGGGGAGCAAACAGGAUUAGAUACCCUUGUAGUC
rnacentral:rRNA from 1 species